GAUGAACGCUGGCGGCGUGCCUAAUACAUGCAAGUCGAGCGAACGGACGAGAAGCUUGCUUCUCUGAUGUUAGCGGCGGACGGGUGAGUAACACGUGGAUAACCUACCUAUAAGACUGGGAUAACUUCGGGAAACCGGAGCUAAUACCGGAUAAUAUUUUGAACCGCAUGGUUCAAAAGUGAAAGACGGUCUUGCUGUCACUUAUAGAUGGAUCGGCGCUGCAUUAGCUAGUUGGUAAGGUAACGGCUUACCAAGGCAACGAUGCAUAGCCGACCUGAGAGGGUGAUCGGCCACACUGGAGCUGAGACACGGUCCAGACUCCUACGGGAGGCAGCAGUAGGGAAUCUUCCGCAAUGGGCGAAAGCCUGACGGAGCAACGCCGCGUGAGUGAUGAAGGUCUUCGGAUCGUAAAACUCUGUUAUUAGGGAAGAACAUAUGUGUAAGUAACUGUGCACAUCUUGACGGUACCUAAUCAGAAAGCCACGGCUAACUACGUG
rnacentral:rRNA from 1 species